GUGAGGAAUAUUGGUCAAUGGACGCAAGUCUGAACCAGCCAUGCCGCGUGCAGGAAGACGGCUCUAUGAGUUGUAAACUGCUUUUGUACGAGGGUAAACUCACCUACGUGUAGGUGACUGAAAGUAUCGUACGAAUAAGGAUCGGCUAACUCCGUGCCAGCAGCCGCGGUAAUACGGAGGAUUCAAGCGUUAUCCGGAUUUAUUGGGUUUAAAGGGUGCGUAGGCGGUUUGAUAAGUUAGAGGUGAAAUCCCGGGGCUUAACUCCGGAACUGCCUCUAAUACUGUUAGACUAGAGAGUAGUUGCGGUAGGCGGAAUGUAUGGUGUAGCGGUGAAAUGCUUAGAGAUCAUACAGAACACCGAUUGCGAAGGCAGCUUACCAAACUAUAUCUGACGUUGAGGCACGAAAGCGUGGGGAGCAAACAGGAUUAGAAACCCUAGUAGUCC
rnacentral:rRNA from 1 species